rnacentral:lncRNA from 1 species
CUUUGAUCUGGAAUGGGUCAGAUGUUCUAGGAAAAGACAUGUCAGAAAUACUUGGCUUCUUAGUCUGAAGGUUCUGAGUAGACAAUCUCUAGAGCUAAUGAAAAUAUUAGUUCCUUGGCAUUUUCAACACUGUAAAUGUUUGAAAUUGUCUUUUGUCUUUUCAGUAUGUACUCUGCCAGUAUUAUACAUAGUUAAGCUCAGUUCUUAGUUGUAGACAGCAUAACUCUUUUUAGGAUAAGCAGAAAAGAUACUUACUUUUCAAAGCUUGUUGAGUAUUUUAUAGGAUAUCCAGGGAAGACCAGAUAGUUGGACGUAGGUGCAGCCAGCUCUGAACAUGCGCAAACCACUCUUAAAACUUAGCAGUGAAGACUCAUUUGUUACUGGAGCCUUUGUCACCCUUGAAAGUUGGAUUUAUCACAGCAGUGAUAGGAGGAUUCUUCACAUUGCUCUGUUGGGUAUCAAAUUCCUGGGCAGUAUGUCUGAGUGUAGGGCCUUGGUCAUGUCCUUCUGUCCUAGCAGUCAGCUAAGAAAACAAACCAAGUCUGCCUUGGGUAGAGCAUAUAUUAUUCAAAAGAUGCUGGAUGGUCAAGGAAUCAUGACAGUUGUCAACUACAAUAUAACAAAGUGGAGCUGGAGAGAAGGCUGACACUUUUUGGUAGGAAAGGACUCUGCCCUUUAGCUGUAUUUUCAUUUUUAGUUAGUCUCCAAAGAUGACCUCUGCAAAGUCUCCCCUCACCUCUUGGUCUCAUACAAAUAGAUGCAGAGAAGUAUUAUGGAGCUUUAUGCUCUACCAGCAAUAUUUAGUGGCUUUUCCACUAAAUACUUAAAAGUUCUGUUUAGAUAGCUGUUUGUUGACUUUCUACCAAGAGUAAUGACUGUUUUUUUUUCUAAUUCUUUCCCUCCUCUUCCACCUAAACUCAUCUGACUCAAUGAUUAUAUAAUUUUUAUGACAUAUCAUUUAGAUUUUGAAGUACACUUACAGCUGUACCAUAUGGUUUAUUAGCUUUAAUAAUCUUUCUGUUCUCUGUUCUACUAGAUGAGAAAUUCAGCCUACCCAGCCACACCUUGUCCUUUUUGUCUCCAAACCUUUUCUGUGUUAUUUCUGUAAUGUUGGAGAUUAUAACAUUUAAAUUCUGUUCUGUGACCAUAAUAUCCACACUUGUUUAUUCUUUUUAAAAAUAUUUUUAUUCGUUGUUGAUGAAUUUUAUUUAUUUAUUUUUUUUGUACAUGGUGCUGAGAAUCAAACCCAGGGCAUCACACAUGCUAGGCAAGCACUCUACCACUGAGCCACAACCCCAACCCCACACUUGUUUAUUUUUAGUCCUAAAGUUAGGUGGAGUCAAUACUCAGGACCUGUUCUCCCCAUUUAUCUCUUUGAUUUUCAGAGUUUGGCCUCUAGUGGUUUCUUCAAGAAGGGUUUCGGGACUACAUUCCCUCAGUUUUUCCAAGUUCAAAAUGUUUCUUGUCCCUACACUUUAAUGACUAUUUAGCUUUGUACAGUUCUUAGAUCACACCCUUUAUUUCCCUAAGGAUUUCAUCCCAUUGUCUUUGAGUUUUGAACUUUGCUGUGAAGAGUAGCAUUCAACUUUGUGCCUCAUUUCAUAACUGAUUUUUCUCUUAAUUCCAGUAACGUUACUAAAACAUGAAUCAAAGUUGAAUGUUUUGUGUCAAUUUUUCCUGGGUUUCAGCAUGCCCCCUGAAGUCUAUAGAUUCAUGACUUAUUUUUCUGAAAAGUUACUUUGAAGUAUACCUUUGAUCUUUUUCCUGUUUUCUUAGGAUUUUUUAACCUCUUCUUCAGGAUGCUGGUUGUUAAAUACAAAGUCUUUUUUAUCUGUCCUUUCUAGCUAUUAUUUUGUCCAGUUCUUUUGAAUUAUUUUUUUCUACUUCAUUUUGCACUCUUUUCCAUUCCUGUCAUCCUUGUUAUUUCCAUAUUUCUCCCCACAGUCUGGUUGCUGCCAAUAUAAUGUUUAUGUCC